GAUAGGAAUUCCUGGUGUAGCGGUGGAAUGCGCAGAUAUCAGGAGGAACACCGAUGGCGAAGGCAGAUCUCUGGGCCGUAACUGACGCUGAGGAGCGAAAGCGUGGGGAGCGAACAGGAUUAGAUACCCUGGUAGUCCACGCCGUAAACGUUGGGCGCUAGAUGUAGGGACCUUUCCACGGUUUCUGUGUCGUAGCUAACGCAUUAAGCGCCCCGCCUGGGGAGUACGGCCGCAAGGCUAAAACUCAAAGGAAUUGACGGGGGCCCGCACAAGCGGCGGAGCAUGCGGAUUAAUUCGAUGCAACGCGAAGAACCUUACCAAGGCUUGACAUACACCGGAAACGGCCAGAGAUGGUCGCCCCCUUGUGGUCGGUGUACAGGUGGUGCAUGGU
rnacentral:rRNA from 2 species